rnacentral:rRNA from 1 species
UACGUAGGGUGCAAGCGUUGUCCGGAAUUAUUGGGCGUAAAGAGCUCGUAGGCGGUCUGUCACGUCGGCUGUGAAAACCCGAGGCUCAACCUCGGGCCUGCAGUCGAUACGGGCAAACUAGAGUACUGCAGGGGAGACUGGAAUUCCUGGUGUAGCGGUGAAAUGCGCAGAUAUCAGGAGGAACACCAAUUGCGAAGGCAGCUCGCUGGAACGUAACUGACGCUGAGACGCGAAAGCGUGGGGAGCAAACAGG